rnacentral:lncRNA from 1 species
AUCAUUAUCCACCUGACCGUUUGCUCUUUUUCCGUUUGCUUUUUUUUCGGUUCAGGCCUUUCUUGCAUUGCUUUUUCCUUUUCUUUUCUUUUCUUUCUUUUUUACUUUUUUUUUCUUUUCGUUUUUUCAUUUUUUUUCUUUUUUUCAUUUUUUUUAGCAGGAUCGACCUCGAUUCCUCUUUCGGUCACAAUAAACCUCAG